rnacentral:tRNA from 5 species
GCCCGAGUGGUGGAAUCGGUAGACACAAGGGAUUUAAAAUCCCUCGCUGGUUACAGCGUGCCGGUUCAAGUCCGGCCUCGGGUACCA